rnacentral:rRNA from 1 species
GUGGGGAAUAUUGGACAAUGGGCGAAAGCCUGAUCCAACCAUGCCGCGUGUGUGAAGAAGGUCUUCGGAUUGUAAAGCACUUUAAGUUGGGAGGAAGGGCAGUAAGUUAAUACCUUGCUGUUUUGACGUUACCAACAGAAUAAGCACCGGCUAACUUCGUGCCAGCAGCCGCGGUAAUACGGAGGGGGCUAGCGUUGUUCGGAAUUACUGGGCGUAAAGCGCACGUAGGCGGAUUGGAAAGUUGGGGGUGAAAUCCCGGGGCUCAACCCCGGAACUGCCUUCAAAACUGCAUGACUAGAGUACGGUAGAGGGUAGUGGAAUUUCCUGUGUAGCGGUGAAAUGCGUAGAUAUAGGAAGGAACACCAGUGGCGAAGGUGACUACCUGGACUGAUACUGACACUGAGGUGCGAAAGCGUGGGGAGCAAACAGGAUUAGAUACCCGGGUAGUCC